GGGGUUGGGGCUCAGUGGUAGAGCGCUCGCCUAGCAUGUUUGAGGCACUGCGUUCGAUCCUCAGCACCACA
rnacentral:tRNA from 1 species